CCUUUUAUCAAUACAUAAAAACUCAACUUCAUAAAUGCUUCUUGACUUAAAAUAUAUUUUGUCUGAUAUUGCUGUGGAUAAACUAACAGUCUUUAAAAAACUUGGUUGGUGAACUUUGUAUGCUCUUUUACUUUAAACUUUCCUAUAUUCUUAUGUUUUAGGUAUGUUUCAUAACUAGCUUAUAUCUGGAUUUUGUUAUAUACUUUUUAAUAACCUCAAUCUUUUAACUGGUAUAUAUGGACCAUUUAUGUUUAUUGUAAUUACUGAUAUAUUUGGAUUUAUUUCUACUCUUAUUCUCUUCUAAUUACCAAGAUUUUCCUUCUUUGAGGUAAUAAAGAAUGAGGUUUCAUUUCUUAUUGGUUUAUGCUAUAGAUUCUACUUCUAUUCUUUUAGUGGUUAGCCUUAAAAACUUAAAAUGCUUACUUAGAAAUUUCAAAAUGAAUCUCUAUUCCCACCUCCAGAAUAAUAACAGUGAGUUCAGAACAUCUUUACUCGAACAUACAAUCCUAUUUUACAUGUUGUUAUUUAGAAUGCAAGUUCUGCCCUUACUUAAUUAAUCCCCCAAUUUCUCAUUAUUAUUUUUAUGAUUUUUAAAUAAUCAGUACUUACUCAUAUUUAUAACAUUUUACCAUUUUCUUUGCUCAUUUUGUUUUUCUGCUUUCUACUUUUUUAUUGUGGGGUUUAAUUACUUCUCAUUUCUUUUGGGGAAUACCUCUUCCUUUUUGAAAUAACUCUUUCAGAUUUUUAUUGCUAAAAAUAUUUUUAUUUCACCAGAAUGAUGGUUUACCCAGGCACAAAAUUGGUUAAUAGUAGUUCCCUUCAGUACUCAAAAGAUACAAUUUUCAUGGUCAGCCACUUCCAGUGUGUUGACUUUGAGCAAAGUGAUGCCUGUGAGAGCCAUUGGUGACUCAGUGGAAAGGGCGGAAGAUACUCAUAAAGGGGAAAAAGUAUGGUGACAUUACAGUAAACAGAGGUAGAGAGUAGAAUAAUGUGGAGUGGAUGACAAAGAAAGAGACAUCAGUGGCAUCCCCAAAAGUCUGUGCUGAGACCUAACCAUCCCUUCUUGGCCCAUAAUUCUUCUUUCCUUUUAAGUGUUAACAUCUGUUCAAGUUCAAACACAGGGUGGCAAGAAUGAUUUUUUCCUGUAAAUCUUUGUGAAUCGUUAGUCAAACUAGGAAAGUAAGGGUGAUCAGAAGGCCAUCAUUUGUUAUUAUGUUCCUAAGUUCCCUGGGAGGGGAGCAUACUGCUAUAGCAUUUAAAGAGGCAGUGCAGACUUCUUUUUGGCUUAUUUAAGUAAGUUUCCAGGUAGCAUCACACAGCCUUUUCAAAUAGCAGUAACCUGGAGCAGUGGCUGGGGAGGGUGUUGUGCAAAGGAGGACAAUUAGUUCACAGGCAAAUAGCAUGUCCAUCAUUUCCACUAUUACUAUAUUUGAAUACAACUGAAAACUUAAUAAAGUUUGACAUGUUUUUCCCAUAUGUGUUGAUUUAAAAUAAAAAAUAUUAAGUCUGGCAGGGGCCUCAGAGACUAUCUAUCCUGAACCCUUUGCUUUAGAAGCGGAGCUCGAGGGGCGCUAACCUAGAGGGGGACCCCAAUGUGGGAAGGAAGAUGGGGUCAUGUGAGGACUUCAGAUCCCGGCAGAGCUUCACUCAUAAUAACUACUGCUCUAACCCCACAUUUUAUUUUCCAACACUUUUUCAUGUACAUGAAAAAAAUGACACUAAGGUUUUUUUUUUAACCCAGUGUUUUAAAUACUGUACUCAGUUCUAUUCUCUGCUCAUAUGAAGAACUAAUCCAUUGCCUAUUCAACACAUUCUGAUUUAAUGUUGAUGUAACAAAUUGUCUGUACUCCAAGUCCUUGCUGUAUUUUUUCUAAAAAUAUUCUCAUUUUUAGCUCAGCAUGAAAAUUCCUUUGGUUUUUCUGUUAGGGAAGCAAGCCAUUACAAACUAUUUUCUUUUCCAAAAGUUCUAAUCUAGGAUGACAUACAAUUUAGGUGGACAAAGUUCUAACAUUACUGUACUCCUCAAUCCCUAACACCUCUAUAUUUUCUUUUCCACCUGGUUUUCUUUUUAUAUUUUCUUUUUUGUGACAUUGUUUAUUGUCUUCAAGGACAAUGUAAGGGAAUUCAGUUUUCAGUGACAGCAUUCCUGGCUUCUGAUCAAAAGACUUCAUUCCCAAGAUAACUACUUCUAGACAACAAAUACAGGCAAUGCAUGGUGAUGAAACACAGCUUUUAUCCUAUUUUGUUCAAGGAGCAUUUGAAUUAUUAGUUCUUGGAAGACCCUCUAUAUAUUCAGGUUAUUUUCUUUUAGAUGACUUUGCAGAAGGAAAUCACGUGCACCACUGAUUUAGUUAGUUUAGCAUCCUGAAAGCCUUAUCCAUCUGGACCCUAUAGACACCCUGGUUCCAAUUAAGCCAGCUGGGUAAAAAUUUCAAUAGAGUUAAUUUUGCCAGCUGAGCAAGUCAUGCUCACCGAGAAUGUACUCAUUACAGAGGACUCUGGCCCACUCUUGUCCUAAAGAACAUGAAACUCCAGCUCUUGAGUAACUUUUUAAAAGGUCCCUAAAGAAAUGUGUUCAAUCUGCUAAAUCAGGAGUGAUGAAUGUAUGGAUCAAAAGGGAGAGAGGGCAGGGAAGGUCAGGAGACUGCACCCAAUGUCAAGACAAAAGCUAGUAAUGAGGUGUUCUAACAGAAGACUUCUCUGUGGCUAUUUCUUACAUCAAGCUGGAUGCAGUUGAAUUUUUGAACGCUUCCAACACACAGAUCCUGUUCUUGGCUAGAGAAGCAGUGAUAUUGAAAGAAACUUGUAAAAUAUCUUUUCUUUAUACUUGCAGAGAAGAACACUAGGCUGCUGUCAAAAUGAGGAGGGUUGGAUGUAAGAGAAUCUUGGAGAUGGUGUAGCCUAAGCCUCACAUUUUGAAGAUAAAGAAAUAAGGUUCAGAGGAGUGAACUCACUUGUCCAUGACCAUAGAGCUAUUACUACACAGCCAGACCAGUGAUCUUGCUAGUGAAUCACACUGCUACUCUUAAUUUAACACCCAAUUUAAAAGAGAGAGAGAGAGCAAAUCACUGCACACCCCAACACUGGGAAAUAAUGCAACUUUCUGGAGGUCUAGUGGGAACCCUAUAAUUAGAGUGCAAGCAGGUACUGGGCAUUUAUUUCACUUGUCAAAAUCCCUGGAGGUAUGUUUCUGAAACCUAUUGCCAGGCACAGCAGUGGCCUGCCAAGCAUUCUUUGGCCUGCUAUCCUAGUGCUGUAAAUCUGUGCAUCUCCCGCAGGGAGAGGAGUGAAAAAUUAAUGAGGAGCUCAGAAAAGCUCAUUUGCAGGGCUAUAGAGAUUGGGAGGGCAAUGGAAAUGGGAAGUGAAGGCAAAGGUUUAAGCUAUCAGCCUGAAGCUGUGGCAAAUCAUAUAAAUAGGGUGUAAAUGUAAAUAUACCCACACAAAAAUGGAAAAGCACUGAAGAGCUAUUUAGGGAAGGACUGGAUCUGAAUUAUAAACACCCAGGGCAGGGCUCUUUGUGAUUCAUUCAGAGGCAUCCGUUCAUCUCUGGGAUGCCCAAACCUACAGCCAUCUGACCCAAACAGCACGCUCAGGUCUCCUUGAGUCAGCAUUUCCUUUUCAUGGGGAAAAAACCAUGUAUCUUGACCCAAAUGUUUUCUCUCUUAUCCUGCUUGGACAUAAUAGCCUAUCAGCCUUAUAAGAAUGAGGGUAAAUUUUUAAAAAUCAGGUACCUUAAAAUUUUUUUUGGAGAAUUUUUUUUCUUUUCAACAAGGUAAUAUAUGAGUAAUUCAUUCUCUAAGAAGAAAAAAAAAUCAAUUUGUGUUAAAAAUUGUAAACUGUUUCAUUGACAAAGUUUGAUGUCUAAAGAAAAACAAAGGGGGCACGAAUCACUUCCCACUGGGAACCAGAUGUGGGACCGUAUUUGUACCUGAACAUCCUGGGCACUCCCAGCUCAGGCUCUGGUCUCCACCUGUUCCUUCUCUCAGGCAGUUUAUUCCCAAGUGAGAGUUCCCUAGCCAUUCAGCACAAGUACCCGGCUGUGGAAUCACUGUUUUUGGAGUGUGGUAUCUGGGAGAAGGGUGAUCACUGCUCAGAAGUGCUCUAGAGCUGGAAGUCAGGAAGGUGCUGCUCACAGCAAUAGCUGAGGUACUGACAUUCUUUUGCUAAUUAAAAAUAUUUUCAAGUCCAGUAAGUGGUUAUCAGCUGACCUCAGCUCUUAUUGAUGUGAUAAUAUACAUAUAUUUUUUAUUUUAAUUUUCAACUACAGUUUACAUUCAAUAUUAUUUUGCAUUAGUUUCAGGUGUAGAGCAUGGUGGUCAGAUAAUCAUAUACUUUACAAAGGGUACCCCCUGCCCCAGAUAUUUCCAAUCCCCGCAUCAUACAGUGAUAAUAUUUUAAAGUCAAUAUGACUUGCUCAUGAGCCUCCAGAAGAUGCUUAAGAACAGACACCUAGUUUUCUUUUGAGAGAAAGAAGGUCUUCGUCUUAUUCACAGUUGUGGUUCAAACCGAAUUCCCCCAAAAUUCACAUGUUGAAGUCCUAUGAAGUCCUAUACAUUCAGUAUCUCAGAAUGUAAUCAUAUUUAGAAAUAAGGCCAUUAAAGAUGUGAUUAGAUUAGGAUGAAGUCACGUUAUAGAUACGAUGGGUCUUUAGUCCAAUAUGACUGAAGUCCCUACAAAAAUGGAACACAGACACACAUAUCAAGAGAACACCCUGUGAAGAUGAAUGCAGGGAUCAGAGUGAUGUAUCUACCAGCCAAAUGAUGACAAAGAUUGUCAGCAACAACCAGAAACUAAGAGACAGGAAUCAAACCUGCUGAUACCUUGAUCUAGGUCUUCUAACUUCCAGGAUUGUGAGACAAUAAAUUUCUGCCAUUUAUGACACUCAUUUGAGGUACUUUGUCAUGAGAGCCCUAGAAAACAAACACAACCUCCUCACAAGGUUAGAAUGAUUCCCUUUCUUUUCAAGACACAAUGGAACUCUGCCUGGGUGCCCUGCACUCCCACUAGAUGGCCUCUCCUUCACUGUGUGAUGGGAGCCUUCUGGGUCCUCUCUGGCCAUGAGGAUUCCUUGGCAAAAACAGAAUGCCCUGGCCCUGGCCAGGUAGCCUAGAGUUGUCACCCUGAUAUGCAAGGUUGCAGGUUCUAUCUCUGGUCAGGGCACAUACAAGAAGCAGCCAAUGAACGCAUACAUAAGUGGAACAACAAAUUGAUGUCUCUCUCUCUCUGCUCCCCCACCUCUAAAAUCAAUUUAAAAAAAAACCAGAAAGCCCUUAUAUUCUCAUCUUUCAAAUUUGACUCUUACCCAUUCUAAAAAAGAAGAAGAAGGAGGAGGAGAAGGAGGAGGAGAAAUAAUAAGUGCUACUAAUCAUGAGUCACUUGGGGUUAAAACCUGAGAGCUAUCUCUGAUUUCUCCUCUCUCGCCCCCACAUCCUGCCUCCCAAGUCCUGUCAUUUCUACCUCCUCCAUGUCUCUCAAAUCUCUCUUCUUUGCAUUCCUCAUGCCACCACUCCAAACAGGCUCCAAUUAUCUGUCUCCUAGACUGUUACAAUAGCUUUCUAACUGGCCUCCCUUGGCCAGGCUCUCUACUGUAUCCCUGGCAGUUAUAUCAGUAACUGCCAGUGAGUCACCCAAAGGCCAGCUGUGAUUAUGUCCCCUCCAUGCUCCAAAGGGGAUGAGAGCCCAGCUCUGGGAUCUUUACCACUUUCCAUGAUCUAAUCCUAAAACAUCUGCCUGCAUCUGUCUGUUAUAAAUUCAUGUUCCAACUAAGUCAGACUUCUAAAACAUACUUCUGGUUUCCCACCUGUGCCUUUGUUUAUGCCAUUUGCUCGGUAUGGAAUAUCCUCUCCCCUAGUUCUAUCUGUAAAAUUCUAGGCAUGGUGUAAGAACUGUAACUGUGGUGCUGUGGUGAAGUCUGCAGGUUCUGAAGUACAAAGGAGCAGACUGAUUCUGGCUCCCCGCCUCACAGGGAGAUGUGAUGCUGGCAAGUUAUUGAACUUCUGUGCAUUUCAGGUUCCACAAAUGCAAAACAGGGAUGAUAAUAGUACUUCAUGGGGCUACAGUAAGAAUUAAACAAGAAAAUGCAUGAGCCACAUUUAGAAUAGUACCUGGUAUAGUAAGGAUUCAAUGACUUUCAUCACCUAUUAUCUUAUUCACAAGCACUUUAGAGGAAGUUGGAGGUAAUGGCACUCUUUCCCGACCUCUCAAAACAUCUUCACUAAUCUGCUCUUUUACCACUUAAGUUUUGGAUAUGCCUUUCCUUAAGUGGUGCCUUUGCAGCCUUUCUUCCUGCAUCUGGAAUGUCUCUUCUCUCUACAGACUGUUAACACCAAUUCCAAAGUCCCCGCAGAACCUCAUUCUGCCUUCUUUGCUCCUCAGCACUCUACUGCCAUCUCUACCCCUGCACCCACUGGGCCAGACUCAAGGUACCUGAUUUUUUCAUAUGUGUGUCUAAGGGCGUAAUCUGGUGCUUAACACUUGGCAAGUACAAAACAGCUGCUCACAAAAUGAAGAGGAGACUGAAUAUUGAACCACCAGUGGGUGUGGACAUCCCACUGGCCAGUAAGUCUAUUGUGUUUUCUUUAGACAGCGACCAUUGCUUGGAUUUCCAUGUGCUGCAUAAGUGUUUGUUCCAUGUAUGCACACACACAGGUCAAGGGCUGAAAUAACCCAAGGGACUAAUAUUUCCCAGGGGUAACUUUAGGUCAUUUUUCCGUGCAGUAAUUGUCAAUUGGGACUAAAUUAAGGCCAUCACUUUUUUGUGAUUCCAGAGCACUUUGUGUACACCUCAUGAUCACUGAUCUUGCAGCCUGGUAAUUACUGGUUGCCAGUUGUUUCAUUCUAAUAGUGUGCAUUCAGUGUGGGCAGACUUUGUCUCAUUUAGCUUCUAAUUUCCUGCGCCUGGCAUUUAGGAGAUCUUGGGUAAGUAUUUGUUUAACAGGAAUUUGAAGGAGAAACCUGAGAUGAACAACCAUGGGGUAUAGUGAGCCAUUAAGUAGCAUCAGUUAGAAAAAGAAUGAUGCCUCCUUACAUUUUUUUAAUACUCCAUUGCUAGGAAGGUAUAUCUGAUGAAAUAUUAUUGUUAUUUCCAUGACAAAAUUCUGAAAAGAGUGAAAUUCUAAGCUGUAUUCAUCUAAUAACCCUGGCCUAAUUUCUAGCCAACUUAUAGUAUACUGUUUUCCAAGCAAAAUAUGCAGAGUGUCAGAGAGCAAAAAGAUCCCACGGUGUAUGACCUUGAGCUCUAAUGCGUUCUGCUAUAGGGUAAUCAAAGGGCCCAGGCUGAGAACCUGCAGCUGAUAGAAGACAGAUGCGAAUGUGUCCUGGCCAAACACUGGUGGGGGCUCACAGCAUGCCUGGAAAGGCUAACUCUGUGGAUUUCCCUUUCAGAAAGUAAAACUGGGGCUGAUAAAGAGGAAGGGGGCUACAAGGAGUGGGUCCCACCUUUAUGAGCAGAUGAAGGCUGAACAAAUUCUGCAUCUGAAAAAGAGACAUCUGUUGGAAUACAGGUCAGGACAACUUCAGCUUCUUAUUAAAUAAAACUAUUUAGUGACUGAACAAAACCAACUUCAAACUGGCCACAAGUAAUAGUUUACAGGUUGGUUGUUAUCAAGACCUUAUUUUAGAAAACAGAUUCCCGUUCUGAUGCUGGCAAAUCCAAAUAUUGAACAAAAGUAUCAUGGGCUGGGUUUUCAGACUUCCAGAGUUCAAAUCCUACCUAUGCUUUUGAACAGCUAUGUGAUCUUGGGGUAAGAUGCUUAACCUCUCUGUGCAUCCAUUCCCUCAUUUGUGAAUGAGAAUAAAAGUAGUUACUGUCUUGUAUGGGUUUGUGAUAAUUAAUGUGAACUAAUAAAUGUGAAGUGCUUGGAAGAGUGAAUGGCACAUAAACAAUAUAUACGUUGAUGAACUAAUAUUGAAUUAGGCAAAGGUGGUAUGUGAUGACAUACAGUCCAGUGAGAAUGUAUCUUUUGCAAUUAUUUUGUAUAAAAUUAACACAGACCCAUAGAAAGUCUUCAAAUGCAAAGACAGGAAUGUGAUGAUAUGCCAAAUGCUCCUCCCUUGUCUAAUCUAAGUAUCCAGUUCUAGGCCCCCAGAACCUCUACACUCAGAUGUCUCUUCCAUAUUCUUACAGACAAAAUUUUAUUCAGAAACCAACAUUAUACAUUCUAUCCCUUAGUUAAUAAUAGUGUAUUGAGUACUGGAAAUUUGCUAAGAGAGUAGAUUUCAGGUGCUCUCAUCACACAAAAGCCAGUGAUUAUGUAUGUUAAUUAGAUUGAAUGUAAUAAUUAUUUCACUAUACAUAUAUCAUAUUGCAUACCUUAAUAAAAGAUGGAAGAAGUAAAAAAAUUAAUAAAAUUCAUAUGAAUUAUAUCAAUACACAUAGUGCUCUGCACCUCACCUUUCUCUUUCCACUAAACUGUACAUCUUAAAGCUCUCUCCAUAUCUGAACAUGUAACUCCACCUCACAGUUAUUUUGUGGCUUGAUGGUACUUCAUUGUGCAGAGACCAUGACUUUUGUAACCAGGCCCAUUGAUGGCGUGUGUCUGUUUCCAGUUUUCUAACAUUAUAAAUAAUCUGUAAUGAACACCCUUGCACACCCAUGUCACGAUACUUCUGCAAGCAUGCAUGUAGGUUAAAUUCCAGGAAAUUACAAUUCUUGCUGGGCAUGCCCUUCCUGAAAUUUGAUUUUAAUCAGCGUCUUCUUUUUCUGGCUCUGGAAUCUUCUUCCUUACCUGACCAUCCUUUGCUAGAUGUGAUGAACUUCAAGGUCAAGGUAAGUGCAUUUAAAAUGUUGGUUACUUUUGCCAAAUUGUCCUCUAAAAUGCUUGCUCUGCUUCAGCUGUCCACCAGUGCCACAUGACAGUGGCUGUUUCCCACUCUACUAGCUGAUGCAGUGUAUUUAUCGAUUUCUUUUAUCUUUACCAAAGUAACAAAUGAAAAAGAGUAUCUCAUUAGUUUCAAUUUGUGUUUGUUUAAUUAUGAGUAAGAGUGAGAUCUUUUUAUAUGUAUGGGGUAUUUGUAUUUUUCUUUGAUUUGUUAGUUAUACCCUUUGCCCAGACAAUAUAGUUGGAAUUGAAAAUAUAAACUGUGCUACUUCCCUGAAUCAAAUCUUGAAUGGUGACUUAGUGCCUAUAGGAUAAAGUCUGGAUUCCUAAUAAGGCAAAAAGGGGCCUGUGACCUGGUGUCUUCUAAGCCUCCUCUCUGGUUGCUCCCCUUGCCUCAGAAUUAAUGGUCCAGUAACACCUUGCUGCUGUGUUGCCCAGUAUUCUUCACUAAAGAUUCAUGGAGUGACUGGUUAAAGGAAUUCCAAUUUUUAUGUAGUUCACUUUAAAUAAAGAACCAUUAGGAAACAUUCUGUUAUUUCCUCGAGUAUUUUAUUUUUCUUGUUAAUCCUGUAUCAGAAACCACUUAUAAAUAAUAUGUCUUUUAUGGUUUCUGGUAGUUUAUAUUGGUAAUGAUAUCCAGAUACUUUCCAGCUGGCUCUUAUUAACAUUCUCACUAAAGUUUACUUAUUCUGAUGGGGAAAAAUGUUAGACUAUAAGUGGAUUGCAAUAUUCAUACCAGGAGUUUAAAAUAAACUACAAAGGAAGAAAUGAGUCCAAACAGAGGCCAAUGAUCACAACUUCCUGGAGGAACAAACUGUGCAGUGUUGGAGGAGCCUAGAAAAGAGCCUACUCUCCUGUUUCGCUUCUUACUGACACGUAACUUAACUCCACUCUCCAUCCCCAUAUUCCAGUCCUGCUGAGUGAAGCCGUCACUCACCACAACAUACCACAACCUUUUCAGAAAGCAAGAGUCAAAAAAAUAUUGACGCCCAAUGUGCGCCAGAACAGGUCUCUACCCUGAAGAAGGAAAUUCAAAAGAAAAAACAUGCUGCACACGCAGAUAUUUGUGGCAGGGGUAUUUAUAGUAGCAUGCACCCAAGGGAAUGUUUUUUUUAAGUCCUCGUCUGAGGAUAUAUUUAUUGAUUUUUAGAGGGAAGGAAAAGGAGAGAGGGAGAGAGAGAGAAGCAUUGAUAGGCUGGCGUGCCGUACAUGCACCAACCAGGAUCAAACUCUCAACCUAGGUAUGUGCCCUGACCAGGAAUUGAACCCACAACUUUUUGGUGCAUGGAGCGAUGCUCCAACCAACUGAGCCACCUGGCCAGGGCCCAAGGGAAUGUUUUAUAGUUAUUAGGAAGGUGAUUUGACUGACUAUGAGUGAGAGUUCCAAUUCAAUGUAACUCUAAGCAAAAAAAAUUAAAAUAAGAGAGAUAUAUAAUUAUAUUUAUACUUUGAAUUCAACUACCUGAAAUUAUUAUGAAAGAAUACAUGAAAAUAUGUAUAAAUGAUCAUAAUUCAUGUCAAAAAGGGUGUUUUAUUUUCAAACUUUAAUGGAAUCUAUUAUAUUUAUUUCAAAAACAUCUCUCAAGUUUUCUUUUAACACUAGAUGGGGUUGCAGUUUGUGAUGAUGGGGCUGCAGUUUGUGAUGAACAGGUUUGACUUGUUAAGAGAUUUAGUUACACAUCUAUGACUAGAACCCCACACACACCACUCACUGGUCUUUACAGAACCCCCAGACACUGGCAAUGUGACUGGCCCCCAGGGAAGGCCCGAUGCUACGAGUAUCUCUGUCAACAUCUCCUAGCCCAGAUCUAUCAAGCGACGUUCCAGUCAUUCACGAGGCAGGUGAGAAGGAUCCUCCUUGUACUGGCCAAUUUUCUGACAAUGAAAUCUUUCCAGUUGUCCAUGCAUGAAAUAGGGUUUUGUGCUGUGAUGGGUAAAUUGUAUAACAUUUUUUUAAACACAGGAAUAUAUUAUUGUAAAAUGAUGUUGUGGAAUGGCAGUUAUAAUUACUUCAUAUAAUUUUCAUAGAAACAUCUGGAAACAUAAUCAGCACGAUGCUCAAAGUACGGCAUUGAGCCACCCCUUCUUGCAUGCUGGGAAGCAUUUAAAGACCUUUUUCACAGGUGCCCGUGACAACAACAUGCAGGGAUAGCAAGCAGCUUCUUACAAUUUCAGAGCAUCUCACAGCUCCCUGAAAAUCAGGGAAUGUCAGGCCCAGCAAUCAGAAUGGAAGAGCUUUUCAGAGCACACAAAGAUGUCGCUAUGCCAUAGAAGAGACAGUCAUUCUCUUCAGAAACUCACACUUGGUUAAUUUGGGGACAAAAAUAGACUAAUGCUACAAUAGUCUUCUGUGCCAAAAUUAUAUCUGCAUCUGAACAUCAUUAGCUCCCCUCUCUGACUUCUCCUCCACAAAGACUUUUUGUAGGGACUGCUUAAUUGUAACUCAUUGUGACUCAACAGGCAAGUCCUCAGAGGCACUGCAGGUUAUCACACGCGUCCUCCCUCCCCAGGUCAGACGGCCACUCAGAGCAGGUUCUUGGUACACAAUGCUUUCUUUCAUUCAUGCGAUUUCAUGCAUGCCUCACACAUUUUAUAUUCACACGUUGCUCCCACCCCAGUUCCCUCCCCUGCUAAGAAAAGGAGGAAGGAAAGCCUUUAAAACUGACCUUCAAAAAUUAUUUGAUUCAUGUGUGGCCUCAUGGUCUAUCUUUCCCUCUGUUAAAGUUACUUGAUUAUUUGUCUUAGUCAAACAAAUUCAAAAUCAUAAGUGAUUCAUUGCCUAAGGUCAUUCCUGUAUCUCCAACAACUUAUCAAGGAAACCAAUAAUAACCAAAUAAAUCAACCAACCAAUACACAAAGGAAAUAUUUUUUUUAAGAAACAUGUGAAUACGCACCAUAUAGGUAUCUUUCUCUGCCUCAGGGAUGCUAGCAUCAGUCACUGACAUAACCAAGUCUUAUCUCCAAUAUUAUUUUCUGUUUUCUUUAAUGAGAUCAGCUUUCUGAAUUCAAGUCUGUUUAACACUGAUUUACCUAGAUAUGCAUACAUCUUAACCUUUUCACUCUUUAUGCUUCAAUUCAAGUCAUGUGUAAUAAGGAUAUUUCCAAGCAAAGCACAGAAGCCUCUGGAGUCAGGGAGCCUUGCAUCCAAAUCCUAGGAUUUCACUAUCCACCAGCCAAGAGAUGCCAAGCAAGUUACCCUUCUUAAGCCUCAUUAUUCUCAUAUAUAAAACAGUAACUAUGGAUAACUGCCUCACAGGACCACUGACAGCUACAUCACAGCUACUUCAUUAUUUGUCAGUUAGUGGGCACACACCUAUUAGUAGUGCUAAUGUGAUACUAUCAAGUUUAUUAACUAAAAAUGUCAAAGAAUGCUGGGGAAAUACAGGAGACCUAGAUUCAUGCCUAUGUUAAAGUGAUAGUGGAGAAAGGAAAGCACACAUCUGUAAUUGGACUGGAUGAGAAAGUAAAAUAGAGAUUUGACUCAAAGGUGCCCCCAAAGUCAAAGAUAAUUCAUUUCAUAGAGUCAGGGUACUUCUGGAGGGGAAGGCUGUCAGGGCAGAAAGGAGGCACUGACGUAGACACACUUAUGUGGGGUGAUAGUGGAAUGGCUGUGUGGAGGGCUGGCCUCAAGGCUGGACCUGCCAACAGAGGUGUGAGUCCAGGGAUGCCAUGCCGGUAGAACCAACAAAUUCAGUGAACUUCGGAGACAUGAGCACAUUAGCUGGCAUAAAUGAGUGCUCUGAGGACAGGGGAGGGAGAGGGAAACUAGAACAGAGAAAGAGAAAUAAAGAAGAAUGUGUUGAACACAGAGAAUUGCUUAAGGAGAGUCCAAAGCACUCUCCUGGCCUGCUGCAGUGAGAGGAGCAGCAGCAGUAGGUGUGGUGCUCUCCUGGAGGGCCUGGAAGUGGGGACAGGGCUCUGGGCCUGCUGGCAUGGAGCCGAUGACAGGUGCAGUCAUGAACUUUCGAGAGUGAGAGAAGUGUUGAAAGAAGGGAGAGUAAAUUAUUGGUGGAGGAAACUGUCAUUGGGACAGAACUUCCAAUCAAAGACAUGAGCCGAAGUGCAGGAAAGAAGGCAGAAACACCAUACGAGGGUUGGGAACAAAGAAAUUCGAUGCUGUAAAGAUGCUAAGGGACUCAACUACCAUUAAUUAAUUUAACCAAGAUUGACAGUUGAAGGCCAUUCUAAUGACUUCAUGAGUCUUGGUGCCAAUGGUUCCUUCUGCUUUCUCUCAGAAGUUAACUUCUUUUCUAUAUGUAAAACAGAACUGGCCUCAGGGGCUGUAGCUUCUGUCUGGGCGGCUUUGUGUAGAGUGACCGUUCCCCCUGCCUUGCCUGGCACAGGCCUGUCUCGUGCUUAUUGUCCUGGUCUAGGUAGCAAUGGCAUCGUUUUACUCUCAGAGAGGUCUAGGUUUGGAAAAUAAGGCAUAUGGCCAUCCUGUUGAUGUCUCUUUGUUUCUGAGCAUUCCCACCUGCCACAGAGCUCCACUUUUUAUGAAAGAGACUUCACAUACAUUGUCUUCUCCCCCAAGAAAACCUCUUCGUAUAUCAUCCAUUUUUUUGUCUAUGACACAGCAAAGGAGAAACAGGAUGAGGCACUUCCUCAGAGGCCAUUGUAUUCAUUCACUUAAUUGCAAAUUCGUGGACAGAAGGAAAUUAAUACUUUAGUGAACUAAGUUGUUGGUACUAGGAAGACAUGGGAUAAACUCCAACUUCUUGGAAUUGUAGCACAGUGUGUCUAAAAUGAAGCUCCUGUACCCAGCACCUAAACACCAUCUCCUAACUGGAAGAGAUGCUCUUCAGUGUUGUCAUGCAGUGCAUGUGCGUUCAAAGACUGAAACUAAGAAAUAAGGAACCUUUAUUCUUGGAUGCUUGUUUUUUUAAUGAGUUUCUAGAAAAAGAAUUUAUGCUAGCUAAAACUUACAUAGAACUUAUUCUCUGCAAGGUACUAUUCCAAGGGCUUUCCAGAAUUAAGUUCUUCAACCCUCACCACUUAGGAGGUGCCAGUGUUAUCCCUACUUUAGAUGAGGGAGCUGAGCAGUGAGUACGAGUAACUUGCCUAAGUAACUUGGCAGUGGGGCUGCCUGGUCUGGCCCUGACCAUUCCCCACACAGAGCUCCUGCUGACCUUUGAAGUCAGUGGCCAAACACACAUCUAGUGAUAAAUACUGUGAGGUUUGUGUCCUCUCAUAGAAUUAGUUCUAUGAAUAUUCAGCCCCAAUUCUAGCAACCACCACGGAGGCCAGUGUAAUUACUGUCUGCUUACCUGUCUGAGCAUAUUUUAUUCCUAUAUGUCAUAUAGAAGAAGGAGAUUGUGUUCCAUAGAAAACAUAAAUGCAAUGACUUUGAAUGGUAUUUGUUUGAAGCCAGUAUCAAUUUACUUUUUUCUUAUCCUCUCAUUAAACAGCAUCUGCCUUGAACAUGGCAUUGAACUAGACACUGAGAUACAAAGAUGAGGAAGAUGUUAACCACUGCUUUAAGGGCAUUGAAGAAAGACAUUAUUGAUUUCCACUGUCUGUUUCUAUUGAUGAGCUUCCCUACCUUCAUAUUUUAGCUAUAUUCAGAUAUGUCAGAAGAGGAAAGCAUCUUAUAAUGUCACUGUUAAGUGUAGGUGAGCUGUAUGUUUUAAAACAUCCAAAUUAUGCUUUUUCACACUCAGGGAUCCAAAAUACAAUGUAAGUGAUACAAGUCCAGGCUAAGUUCAAAUUUUAGCUCUGUGUGCUAACUGGAAUUUAUCUAGCCUCUCUAAGACUCAGUGUCUUCACCUGUCAAAUGGAGCUAAUAACACCAGUAGGUCUGUUGUGGAAUUAAAGUCAGGCAUGGAAAGGGUCAUGCAUAUUUCACAUCCAUAGAGAACUCUAGAUGAGAGCGGCCACUGCUGUUGUCAUCAAUAUAAUAAAAUUGUUGAAGCAUAUUCUACCCUUGUUUGUCUGCUCCAACCAUGAAUCUGGGCUGCUCCUGUGACUUGUUUUACCCAACAGAAUACUGGGAAUGGGACACUGAGCAAGUUUUGGACCUGAAUCUUAAAAAGGCCCAGUAGUUGCUACUUUGGUGCUGCUGUGGGCCCUGAGCUAACCUACUGGAGAGCACAUGGGAAGAGGCCAUGUGAAAAGGCUCUGAGAACAAGGGGAGGAGGAGUGGGGUCCGCUCUCCUCAUGUCUCCAUGAGUCAGUGACUGCCAAUGACCCUGACUGACCCUGAUACCUGUCUGUGGACUUGGGAGACCCCAAGAGAGAUCAGCAGAAGACUGAGCCCAGUCAAUCUGCAGGUCACAAGAGAUAAUGUAACUGUGUCGUUGUUGUUUUAAGCCACUGAGUUUUGGAGUGUUUUAUUAUCCAGCAACAGAUAACCCAAACCAUAGUGCUGCCCAAAUAACCUGAGAUUCAACACAAACUCUCAUUGAGUCUGACUUGUGCAUGACUCUGAUAAACUGAAUGAUAAUCAUGAAUGAUGGCAAGUUCUUCAAAGGCUGGGACCUUCUGUCGUGAACUACCCUUUCCUCUCUCAGAUCUUGGUAAACAGAAGAACUCAAAAAUAGAGUGGGCUGACCAGCCCACUCAGGUGCCCACAGUGUCAGAUGCUCUGCUCAGUGCUGGGAGACAAAGGGGAAAAGGCAGGGUCACUCUCAUUGAAGACUUUAUAGUCUUGACAUAUAAGCAAAGUGAUGGGAAAAGUUCACUUGGAGGGAAAAACAAUUAUGUCUUUACAACCAUAUCUCUAGGAAGGCACUAAUUUCCAUGGUCUUUAGCCUGUACCAUUUAAUAAGAGACACUUUUUAAAAAUAAUCAGGGCCAUUAAGUUUACCUUGCCGUCUAACCCCUAGUUGUUCCCUUUGUGGGUCAUGGUGGGGCAAGAAGAUUCUUUGCCUGUCCGUGCUUAACUUCUUUUUAAAAGAAAUCGAAUGCUCCAAUCACCCCAAAAGAAUCUGGGUCCCAGUCAGAUGCUGAAAGCUAUACAACUUGGUUUGAUAAUUUCUUAUUAAAAUCAGAUGCUAAAUGGUGCAUCAAUUAUUUGCAUGUUUGUUUUUCCUAAUCAUGAGAAUUGUCAUUGCUGAAAAAUGUGUGGAAUAUAUUUAUUUGGCUUAACAGCCACUCUGCUGACAUUUGUUUUCCUUGGAAUGCCAAAGUCAUAUUAAGGAAAUUUUGCAGCUUGACAUAGUCCAAUAGUCUUAUAAACAGCACCUCCCUCAAGCUCAUGCAGCCUUUUGGUGAUUACUACAUAGUUCCCCAUGUCCUUUCUAGCCAAAUUUCUAGAAAGAAGAAGUCUGAAAUCUGCUGUCUUUCCCCUCCUUUACUCCUCAAUAGGAUGCUAUGUAAACCCCAGCGCUACAGCUUCCCUGAUACCGUUCUGCCCAAGAACGCUGAUGACAAGUUGUCACUGAACCCACUGGACACUUCUCAGUCCUUACCAUCUUGUCAGGACCUGGCAGAGGGGUCCCUCCUCCUUUCUUGAACUCUCUCUGUUCUGGUUAUGUGUUCCUGGUUUUUCUUCAAACUCUCUUGUGGGCUUUGUCUGCCUUCUUUUUUAGGCUCUGUUGCCUCUGCUCAUAGCUUACAGGCCAGCAGUCCUCACGGUGCUGCUGCAGCCUCUCUGGCUUCCUACUUCAUGUCCUCUCCUUAGAGUUUUUAAUCCCAUGACCUCAAAGACGUGUCGGGUGCCCAUGACUUCCAGAUCUGCAUUUCCAGCCAGACCUGCCCUGAUCCCAUUUCUCUACGUCCAAUGUCCCCUCCAUUUGUGAUGUCACAUAGCACACAAAAGCCAGCAUUCCCCAAAAUAAAUGAUCAUUUUCCCCACACACCUGCUCCCCUUCACUGUUCCAGAUCUUGUGAGUGGUACCUCUCUGCCCAUCCAACUGCUCAGCUAGAAACAGAAGAGUAGCUCUUUAUUCUUCUCUCAUCCUCCACAUCCAAUCUGUAACCAAUCUGUAACCGAGUCAUGCUCAUUCUGUCUCCUAAAUAUCUCUUGCAUCUGUGCACAGUUUUAAGUUCCUAGUGUAAGUAUUAUAGUCUAGGUUAUCUUCACCUCUCCCCAACAUUAUAAUCAACCACCUGCUAACCAGUUUCCUUUUUACCAGAAUCGGUAGGGACACACUAUUCUGUUUGCAAUGAAGUGCCUUCUUAAUUCUAUCACAAGGAAAUUUUCUCUCACUCUAGACACAUAUAUAAAAAAGUAGUUAUACUAAAAACUUGAAACAACAUUGGGCACCACUCCAAAUGCUUUCCCAUGAUAUAGAGAAUAGUCUUGUAAAAGGCAAGUCCCUUGAUAGCUUCCUCAAGAUGCUGCAUUAGGAUAAAGCCUAGACUUCCUAACAUGCUGUGGAAGAUCCUUUACAAGCAGACCCUUGCCCACCUUUUCAUCCUCAUUUCUCACUACACUUUGCUCCUCCGCUUACAAUCCUUUCUAAACUAUACCCUCUUUUUAAGUUACAGAUGGCCAAUCUCUCUUCUCUCUUCUCCAGGCUCUCUCACAUUCUGUUCCUUCUACCAGGAGAGAAGACUCUAUCUCACAUUCAUUCUCUCACUCCUUGAUUAAACAUUCAUUUCUCUAGGAAACCUUCACUGGUAACUUGAAACUCAGUUGGCUUUCUCUCCUUGGGCUUCUUGGAGACCCCUGAAGUCUAAAAACCUAAGCUCUGACCAAGUAGACAACAUUUCUUUGUUAGCUUAAAAAAAUAAGGAUACAGAGGCCUAAAUCAGCUGCCUCUCAAGCACAUGCGUGCUUAUUCAUGAUCACCAAUGUUUUCAACCCAUCAGUUUUAUCUGCUUUCCUGAGUGGGAAGAAUAUAAACUUCCAGCUCAAGGGCUGUGCCAGUGAUGGCCCAUAGAACCUUAACAGUGGACAUAGUUUGUCCACAUUGGAUAAGAGGCAAUAAUCCCCUUUAUUAACAGAGAUCUUCAACCUCAUGCUAUAAAAGGAAGUCUAGAAAAGUCUUGAUGUAAACCUUAGGGGAUCUGUCUCCUCUAAGAAUUGCAAAUGCACUCCCCCAAUCACACACUAUACUAGGAAUUCCCAGUAGAGAAGCAUUAGGAAUGUGGGAUUAGCAAGGGGACCAACCAUCUUGGACACCAAGGACAGAGUCUUCCUGAAGAGCCCAGAAGUCCAUCACACCAGGUCCCAAGG